UAGAUUGAUUUUCGUUCUGAUCCAAACUCAUUUAUUCUGUCAGGACAAAACAACAGCUGGUGUUCUGAUCCAAACUCAUUUAUUCUGUCAGGACAAAACAGGUGGUGUUCUGAUCCAAACUCAUUCAUUCUGUCAGGACAAAACAGGUGGUGUUCUGAUCCAAACUCAUUUAUUCUGUCAGGACAAAACAGGUGGUGUUCUGAUCCAAACUCAUUUAUUCUGUCAGCACAAAACAACAGGUGGUGUUCUGAUCCAAACUCAUUUAUUCUGUCAGGACAAAACAGGUGGUGUUCUGAUCCAAACUCAUUCAUUCUGUCAGGACAAAACAGGUGGUGUUCUGAUCCAAACUCAUUCAUUCUGUCAGGACAAAACAGGUGGUGUUCUGAUACAAACUCAUUAUCUGUCAGCACAAAAAACAGACUCAGAAAUAUUUACAAAAGUCAAAAAGAAAACAAA